GACGAACGCUGGCGGCGUGCUUAACACAUGCAAGUCGAACGGAAAGGCCCUGCUUUUGUGGGGUGCUCGAGUGGCGAACGGGUGAGUAACACGUGAGUAACCUGCCCUUGACUUUGGGAUAACUUCAGGAAACUGGGGCUAAUACCGGAUAGGAGCUCCUGCUGCAUGGUGGGGGUUGGAAAGUUUCGGCGGUUGGGGAUGGACUCGCGGCUUAUCAGCUUGUUGGUGGGGUAGUGGCUUACCAAGGCUUUGACGGGUAGCCGGCCUGAGAGGGUGACCGGGGAGGAGUGGGGUGAGGAGCGGGACAGGGGCAUCGGGGGGGGAGCAGGGGGGGGUGAGGGACACGGGGUGGGAGUAUGAAGGCAGAACGGCGGGGGGGGGGUGGGGGGCUGCGGGUUGUGAGACGAGUUGCGCCAUGAAGAAACUUUGUGUGAGGGUAGUGGGUAAAGGGAAAGGGGCUAAAUACGUG
rnacentral:rRNA from 1 species